GCCAAAGCGUGCUCAGCAAUCUCCAGGAGACGAUGCACAGACUGGACCACUUCCGAUUGGUGCAGAGCCACGUGGCUCGCUAAGGCUAGUGGCCUGCCCCUGCCGGACUUAGGCUGUGGAGGCCAGAAGAGGGUGCUGGAUCCCCUAGAACUGGAGUUCCAGAUGGUUAUGAACCAACAUGUUGGUGCUGGGAAUUAAACUCAAGUCCUCCUAAGAACAGACCAGCGAUCUUCAUGACUAACCCUUCUUGACGGACCUAGUAUUGUGCAACAGUUUUCUCUGAUAUUGAAACAUUCCAUCCUGCAGAGAAGCUCCUCAAACCAAAAGGAAGCUGAGCUGCAAAGAAGACUGGGGCCAGAAGAGCUGCCUCAAAGAAGCAGAAGCCAGCCAAGUUGCCUGGAACAGGUUUAGACCAACUGAGGCACAUAAAAAGGACACUCUCCAAUCUGUUGGGUGGCCUGCAGGCUGUGCAGUGUGCUCUCCAAGCCCAGUUUUGUGAGCUGUCAUCCAUGCUGGGGCGGGUCUUGCUGAUGCAGCUGCCUUUUGAAUCAUUUCCACUCCUGAAAGCAAUGACAAUAAAAUGCAUUGGUCCACCAAA